rnacentral:rRNA from 1 species
GACGAACGCUGGCGGCGUGCUUAACACAUGCAAGUCGAACGGAAAGGCACUGCUUUUGUGGGGUGCUCGAGUGGCGAACGGGUGAGUAACACGUGAGUAACCUGCCCUUGACUUUGGGAUAACUUCAGGAAACUGGGGCUAAUACCGGAUAGGAGCUCCUGCUGCAUGGAGGGGGUUGGAAAGUUUCGGCGGUUGGGGAUGGACUCGCGGCUUAUCAGCUUGUUGGUGGGGUAGUGGCUUACCAAGGCUUUGACGGGUAGCCGGCCUGAGAGGGUGACCGGCCACAUUGGGACUGAGGUACGGCCCAGACUCCUACGGGAGACAGCAGUGGGAAAUAUUGCACAAUGGGCGGAAGCGUGAUGCAGCGACGCCGCGUGCGGGAUGACGGCCUUCGGGGUGUAAACCGCUUUCGCCUGUGACGAAGCGUGAGUGACGGUAAUGAGUAAAGAAGCACCGGCUAACUACGUG